rnacentral:lncRNA from 1 species
GUCGCCGGAACAAAUAAUUGACCUGCGUUGACUUGCAGCCAAAUCACAGCAAUUAGCAACUGAAAGCAGAGGAGAGCCGGUGGCAGACAACUGGAGCCGGCAGUUCAGGUCAGACUUCGGGUGCUAAAAUGUCCCAGAGUGACUCAGCGUGGGGGUUUGUUAUUUCCUCAGUUAUCUGAAGAAGAGAAGCCAUCUGCAACAUUAAGAGUGGCCUGUUCAUACCCAUUCACUGCAGCAUCACUUGGCCUUUCCAGCUAUUUGUCUCCAUAGGAUGAAGGUUUCUUGCACAGAAGCAUCAAUGUCAAUGAUUUCCUUUGAAACUCCAAACAACAAAAUAGUGCCCUCAGCAAAACCUGAAGGUAGCAGAAAAUCCAUCUGUUGGGCUGAUGAAGCAGGGCAAAGACAACGAGGAGAUGCAGCAGCAAGAGGACUGCUGCAUGAGGAAAGGCAGUGAAGGUCAUCGGGUGCUGGGAGGUGGAUGAGUGGAGUCCGGCCAGAGGCGUGGCAGCAGAGGACGAGCAUCCCAGUAGUUUUACAGCAGGAGCAGUGACCCUUGCUUUGUUUCUGCAGGUAAGAAGGUUGUACUGAAGCCAGAAGGGACUGUUCUGAUUUACUAUUGCAGGAGAAAAAUGUAACUGUAUUGAACUGUGCAAAGUUCCUGAGUAACAGUAAGACUGCAAUCCGGAAGGUGCGGUGUUGGAUGAGGCGUAAGGUUGAAAGGGCAAUGGAAAACUUCUACUCGACUCAAAAACCUUCAGCGUUUUCUCUCUCUGUUAACAGUGCCUUGCUUAUGAUUUAGCUUUGUUCUAUUUCAAAUGCCGCUUUUAAGGUACAAGGCACAGCAUUAGUUUAGGACAGUGAUCACGACUGACACUAAAGGAGGUGAUGCUCCUUUGCGGUGGCUUUCAGGUAAUGACCUUUUGCUCAGUUGAACCACAAGUGUCAAAUAUGCUCCUUCAUCCUCUACUUAUUACGGGCCGCAUGAAAGACCACCUGUAGAUUCAGUGUCUGAUAAACCAUAGGCCAUCGGCAAAAGAUACAGAGCAGGAAUCCACGGAGGUGGGGCUCUGGGAAAGCAAACUGCAGUGGCUUUGACUCAGAUAUUUCCUUCUCGUGCUGCCCUCGCUCCUACAGCUUCCUCCGUUCUCAGAUGCAGUGAAAAGCCUUUUCGGGGAUAUUCUGUCUUUAUGUCUCUUUGUCACUUUAGAUCGCUUCCUAGAGGAUCUAAGGGAAAAAAAC